AUUGAACGCUGGCGGCAUGCCUAACACAUGCAAGUCGAGCGAGCGGCGGAUGGGUGCGUAAUGGCUGGGAAACUGCCUGAUGGCGGGGGAUAACUACUGGAAACGGUAGCUAAUACCGCAUAUCAUCAGGUGUGCGCAGAUGUGACUGGCUAGUAGGUGGGUUAAUGGCUCACCUAGGGGACGAUCCCUAGCUGGUCUGAGAGGAUGCCCAGCCACACUGCAACUGAGACACGGUCGAGAUUCCUCUGGGAGGCAGCAGGGGGGAAUAUUGGACAAUGGACGAAAGCCUGAUGAAGACAUGCCGAGUGUGUGAAGAAGGACUUCGGAUUGUAAAGCCCUUUUAGCGGAGAGGCGUUACCCGCAGAAAAAGCAACGGCUAACUACGUGCCAGCAGCCGCGGUAAUUC
rnacentral:rRNA from 1 species